rnacentral:rRNA from 1 species
UACGUAGGUGGCAAGCGUUGUCCGGAUUUACUGGGCGUAAAGCGCGCGCAGGCGGACUGGUCAGUCCGGGGUGAAAUCUCACGGCUCAACCGUGAGCGGUCCCCGGAUACUGCCAGUCUUGAGGUGUCUAGAGGAGAGCGGAAUUCCCGGUGUAGUGGUGGAAUGCGUAGAUAUCGGGAGGAACACCAGUGGCGAAGGCGGCGACCUGGGCCAAUAUUGACGCUGAGGUGCGAAAGCGUGGGGAGCAAACAGG